rnacentral:tRNA from 1 species
AAUCUAUUUAAUAUUGUUGAUUAUGAAAUUUUUAAUUGUAAGAGUUCUGCAGAUUU